rnacentral:rRNA from 1 species
AUUGAACGCUGGCGGCAGGCCUAACACAUGCAAGUCGAGCGGAGCGGCGGACGGGCGAGUAAUGCCUAGGAAUCUGACUGGGCGUGGGGGAUAACGUACGGAAACGGGCGCUAAUCCCGCAUACUAUCAGAUAAGCCUCGGUCGGUUUGGCUAGUAGGUGGGGUAAAGGCCGACCAAGGCGACGAUCGGGAACUGGUCGGAGAGGAUGAUCAGUCACACUGGAACUGAGACACGGUCCAGACGCCUACGGGAGUCAGCAGUGGGGAAUAUUGGACAAUGGGCGAAAGCCUGAUGCAGCAAUGCGGCGUGUUUGAAGAAGGGCUUCGGAUUGUAAAGCACUGUAAGUUGGGAGGCGUUACCAACAGAAUAAGCACCGGCUAACUUCGUGCCAGCAGCCGCGGUAAUAC